rnacentral:tRNA from 1 species
CAGAGAAUAGUUUAAAUAAAAUUUUAAUUUUGGAGAUUAAUGAUAGGAGGAACUUCCUUUUUCUGA